rnacentral:rRNA from 1 species
GACGAACGCUGGCGGCGUGCUUAACACAUGCAAGUCGAACGGAAAGGCCCUGCUUUUGUGGGGUGCUCGAGUGGCGAACGGGUGAGUAACACGUGAGUAACCUGCCCUUGACUUUGGGAUAACUUCAGGAAACUGGGGCUAAUACCGGAUAGGAGCUCCUGCUGCAUGGUGGGGGUUGGAAAGUUUCGGCGGUUGGGGAUGGACUCGCGGCUUAUCAGCUUGUUGGUGGGGUAGUGGCUUACCAAGGCUUUGACGGGUAGCCGGCCUGAGAGGGUGACCGGCCACAUUGGGACUGGGAUGCGGCCCAGACUCCUACGGGAGGCAGCAGUGGGGAAUAUUGCACAAUGGGCGGAAGCCUGAUGCAGCAACGCCGCGUGCGGGAUGACGGCCUUCGGGUUGUGAACCGCUUUCGCCUGUGACGAAGCGUGAGUGACGGUAAUGGGUAAAGAAGCACCGGCUAACUACGUG